GGCAGACCGACGCCCUUGAUGGUGUAGGCAAUGAAGCACACCGGCCGAUCGUGAUCGAUCGCCUCGAAGGCCUCCAGCAUGCUCGCCAUAUCGUGGCCGCCGAGAUUGGACAUCAGCGCCAGCAGUUCGUCAUCACUGCGCUUCUCGAUCAGUUUCGUCACCGCGCCCUGAUCGCCUAUGUCGUCGAGNAGAUGCUUGCGGAACGCAGCUCCGCCCUGGAAACACAGCGCGGCGUACAUCUGGUUCGGACA
rnacentral:misc_RNA from 1 species